AUGAACAAGAUAAAGUUUGGAUUAGAGAGAAAUACAGAGGGAACGAGUGAGAUAAUCGAGAGAGCGAGCAGGGGGAGUAUUGUUGUUACCUUCCUUUUGCGUAUGAAGAUGAUGAAAGAGAGGACAUUUUUUCUUCUUUGUUUAGCGAUCGAGAGAAGCGUGAAAGAGCAGAGAGAAAACGUGAUUUGUUGUGGUUUUCUUUUCAAUUCUUAUUUACAUCAAUUUUAA